rnacentral:misc_RNA from 1 species
ACAAUGAGUGUUUUAUGGCACUCUUUAAAAAUCCAUAUCCACCUUGUGUGCAAUGUUUGUUGGGAGAGAGGCAACUCUUUCCCUUCACAAAUAUCAACCUAUAUCUUUAACAACAUUCGUCUGAUAACAUAUUAUGAAUAUACUUAAUUCAAAAUAU